rnacentral:rRNA from 1 species
GACGAACGCUGGCGGCGUGCCUAAUACAUGCAAGUAGAACGCAGAGGCGAGGAGCUUGCUCUUCUGGCGUGAGUUGCGAACGGGUGAGUAACGCGUGGAUAACCUGCCUAGUAGCGGGGGAUAACUAUGGGAAACGGGAGCUAAUACCGCAUAACAUAUUAUAACGCAUGUUAUUUUUUUGAAAGGCGGAAUUGCUGCACUACAUGGUGGAACUGCCGCGUAUUAGCUAGUAGGUGAGGUAACGGCCUACCAAGGCAACGAUGCGUAGCCGACCUGAGAGGGUGAUCGGCCACACUGGAACGGAGACAGGGUCCAGACUCCUACGGGAGGCAGCAGUAGGGAAUCUUCGGAAAUGGGGGAAAGCCUGACGGAGCAAGCCGGCGUGAGUGAUGAAGGUUUCCGGAUCGUAAAACCCGGUUAUUAGGGAGAAAGAGUUUGGGAAUGAAAUAUGCACGUCUUGACGGUACCUUAUCAGAAAGCCACGGCUAACUACGUG